rnacentral:misc_RNA from 1 species
GAAAUGCGAUAAGUAAUGUGAAUUGCAGAAUUCAGUGAAUCAUCGAAUCUUUGAACGCACCUUGCGCUCCUUGGUAUUCCGAGGAGCAUGCCUGUUUGAGUGUCAUGGAAUUCUCAACUCUAUUUGCUUUUGUGAAUAGAGCUUGGAUUUGGAGGUCUAUUGCUGGUACUUGUGAUCGGCUCCUCUUGAAUGCAUUAGCUCGAACCUUUGCGGAUCAGCUAUCGGUGUGAUAAUUGUCUACGCCGUUGCAGUGAAGCAUAUCAAUGGGCUCGGCUUCCAAUCGUCCUUUACUGGACAAUGACUUUGACCUUUGACCUCAAAUCAGGUAGGAUUACCCGCUGAACUUAAGC